GUGGAUCUCUGCUCCUCCAUUCACUACCUUUGCUCUGAGAGCUCUGCCUCUGUACUUCUGGGAUGUUGAUGUUUUUCUCAAUUCAGGUUUAUCAGCAGUAAACCUGGCCUUGUCCACAAGCUGUUAUCUGAAACUUUUGGGGCCAGGUGAGUUUUAAAAUACAGAAUUUUCAGAUUUUGGAGAGAUUGUAUGGUUCACAAACAGAUUUUGAAGCAACAUCCUAUCAAACAUAUUAGGAUUUCUGUAAUAAAGGAUAUGAAUAUCCACACCAAGUGAAAUAAAUUAAGACUAUAUCAUAUCAAUUCAGAUCACGUUUUACUGUCAGAUGAAUUCAGAUGAUAUUAAAUUUUGAUGCCAAAUAAAUUACAAAAGCACUUUAAAUUUUUAGAGAUGUUUAGAUUUUGGAAUUAUAGAUAAGGGAUAUUUGGCUGUCUUUUGAUCUCCAACUGUCUGACUUCUGUGUCUACUUUCUCUUAUUGGUUCUUGGCUUGGAGAGUGAAAGAAGGCCAGAGUGAAUACACCAAAAAGGUAAGGAAGCUUCAAUUUUAGCCAUCCUCAGUUGUACAGGCCUUUUCUUUAUACCCACAACUUAUAAGUUUAAAUUUUUUUUCUUAAAAAUAUAAAUUUUAGGGGCUGGGGCUAUGACUCAGUGGUAGCACACUUGCCUGGCAUGUGUGAGGCACUGGGUUUGAUUCUCAGCACCAUGUAUAAAUAAAUAAAAAUAAAGGUCUAUCAACAACUAAAAUAUUUCAGGGCCCACAGAGAAAGAUAUAUCACCCUUGGAGAAAGGUAUGAUUGCCUUCCCUGAAAUUCUGAUGGCCAGAAAGUAGUUACUAUUAUCAUCACCAUCUUACUUGUGUAUGUGUACAGACUGAGGCUUAAGAGCUUAAAUCCCCUAGCAUCCAGUUACAAGUGACAAAGUCUAGUUUUAAACCCAGACGGUGUAACUUUUGGGUUUGUGCCUUUAAUCACUGCCUUUCUCUAUCUGUGGAUAAAUAUAAUAGUUGACAUUCUAUUUCUAGCUAAAGUAAAUCCUAGAGUGUCGCGACCCCUUGCCCGCAAGGAAGACGCAACUCAGGAAUCUUCUUUCAGCAGUUUAUUCAGGCCCUGGAUAUUUCUUCUUCUUUUUCUCGGGUGCCCCUCCCAGCCUUAAUAAAGCAUCCCAAGCCCCAAUGCAAAGCUGCCGCGUGGAACUUUCUCACAGGGUGAUGAAAAAUCAUGUGCCAACUUUCCCAGAUAAGAAGUUGUUUGUCACAGACCACAGCGGAGCCAGCGCCAUCUUGUAAUGGCGACCAUAAUCUGCAGAAACGGCAGAAGCGGCUCACCACAGUUCCCCCUUUUCUGUUUUCUUAAAACAAUACAGGCGAGAGUAGAGGUCCUAUCCCACUGUGCAGAAGUGGCUGCAUAGUAUGGCUCAGUCCCAAGGAGGGCCCUUCCCCAGAUCUGAGGCCAUAUCAGCCGACGCCUUUUUUCGUGGGGCGGGGCGUGAACGCGUCUAACCCGCAUGCAAUAGGACAUGCUCUCCUUGAGGUCCUCUUCAAGGAUCACUCAAGUGCAGUGCCUUGCCUCGCAUCCUGUAUCGUGACGAUGGUGGACGAAGGGGGAUAGCUGAGGCUGAACUGUGGCUGUUUAUAACGACAAACAAGUUGACAGCACCCUGAAAGAAAGGCACGAACUUCAAGGCGAUAGAAAAGUACUAGUGUGGAAACCCAUCUGCGUGCAAUGGCAGUAAGACCGGCAGAGUGCAAGGGCUUUCCAACACUAAGAGAAUAACAAGGAAAGUCAUGUCGAUCCCAGUGCAAUGUUAUAAUAACUUGGGGUGUAACGACCAUGACAAAGGUUUACUGCUUAAGAUGCGCAAGCCAGACUUGAGGCGAGUUGCCAUUUUCUAAAGCUGCAAGAGCUUGUAUGAUCAUAGCCUUUUCUUGUGCAUGGCGAGUUUUAAGGCGACAGAGAAGCCACAAACAAAGUACAACACUGAAGCAACACAUUGCACCAAAAAUGCCUAUUCCCACCCACUCUUUGAAGAAGGAAAAAGCAGAAGAUAUCCAAUCGGUGAAUUGACCCAAAGUCACNCUGUAAGGCAACCACGGACCAUUUUCCAAAGGGGUAUCACCCCACCCUCUAAUAUGCCCUGCUCAGAAGCAAAGUCAAGAUCUUUGCCUAAUUUAUCCCAACUAGGCACAGUAAGGCUGCCCGAAAAUGCAAACCACGGUGCAGCGAUAUCUAUCUUCUGUAAAAAUCUCUGUAAAGUACUAUGUUUCACUUCCAGUCCCUUGGAACGUAACAGGCCAUCUAGGGCCAGGAGAAGCGGACUUGAAGAUGCGGCACCCAUGACACAACAACAAAGGAAGCACAAAAAACAGAAAGCGAAAGUAGAAGCGAAAGUACACAGUGCAGCUGCAAUAAAAUGUAAGGCUCUCUCUUUCAUUACAGAGGAGCUGUCCCGCUUUGGUCGCGGAUCCCACUUACUAGGGACUAACCCCGCUUUGAUCGCGGAUCCCACUUAUUGGGACUAACCCCGCUUUGGUCGCGGAUCCCACUUACCUGGGACUAACCCCGCUUUGGUCGCGGAUCCCACUUACCUGGGACUAACCGGUGCACCACCCCUGACUGCUGAAAGUUCUGGUUCCCGGGUCUCGGCACCACUUGUCGCGACCCCUUGCCCGCAAGGAAGACGCAACUCAGGAAUCUUCUUUCAGCAGUUUAUUCAGGCCCUUGAUAUUUCUUCUUCUCCCUCUCUGAUGCCCCUCCCAGCCUUAAUAAAGCAUCCCAAGCCCCAAUGCAAAGCUGCCGCGUGGAACUUUCUCACAGGGUGAUGAAAAAUCAUGUGCCAACUUUCCCAGAUAAGAAGUUGUUUGUCACAGACCACAGCGGAGCCAGCGCCAUCUUGUAAUGGCGACCAUAAUCUGCAGAAACGGCAGAAGCGGCUCACCACACUAGAGAAUAUUCUUUAUCCACAGAAAAAUAACCUAAAGAAUCUUAAUUUCUAUCAUUCUCAGUCUAUAGCCUAAAGUCCUCUAGUAACUCAGAAAAAGUGCAUGUAGUAACCUUCCUUCUCCAGAGAAUCCUGGGGAUUAAAUCCUGUUGGUACAUUACAAUUCUCCUGAUACUGAGCCUUCAAAAUUAAGCAGACUUUCCUCUUUUCCCCAAAAAAUUUCACUCACCAACAUAUUAAGUAUGUUUGAAUUUCAUAAAAUUCAAUCUGAAAGUCAGUGAAACUGUAUACACAGGAUCCUCUAACAUUUCCAUAAUAGUGAAUGGUCUCAAGUUUUUAUUUCUCUACAUAACUCUAUACAACAACCCUAUGAGAAAUGGAAAGCACCAAAUACCCACACUUUAUAAAUGAUAAAACUGAGGACCAAAGGAAGUAAUUUUACUAGUUGGCAAAAUUGGCAACCAAGCCUGGGACAUUUUCCCCUUACUAUAACCAUGUCUUUUUUAUAUAAAUGCUUGAGGGACUUGUUUCUCCUAAGGGGGAAAGUAGAAGAUGGUUUAUCUAAACAGCAUCAACUGUGGACAUGGUAGUUACAACUUGUUUCAUGCAUUACUUUAUCUGCUGAUGAAUUUUCCCUCAAACAACAAAACCAUUCACACUGUUUUUUUUUUUUAAAUUUUAUUCCCAGAUUCUCCAACUGGAAUAAGAGACCAAUAAGGAAAAUUUUGUUUUACUCCUCAUAAUUACAAUAAUGAUUAAAUACAUUUUAUUAUGAAAGUAAAUAAAAUUACAGAGAAUAAUAAGAGGAUAACAAUGAUAUCCAUCACCCAGCUAUAACACACCUUAACAUUUUGCCACUUGUUUCCUUUAGGCUUUUUCUUAAUUAAUAAAGUCCUUAUAAAUGUUCUCCAGUUCCAAUUUUUUCUUCCACUAUCCAGAAGUAACAGUAAUCUGAAUUUUGUAUUUUAAUCCAUAAAUAUUUAAUAAUACUUUUUCAUUUAACAUUUUUAAAUGUAAGUUUUUUAUAUAAGUUUCUCAUUUUAAAACUACCAUUUCACAGUAUGAUUUUUACACUCAGUGUUUUGAGGUUUAUAUUGAAACUUAAAGCUAAGAGAUUUAUGCCUUCAGCUUUUGUGAUACUAUGAAUGAGGUCUUUGUUUCAAGUACAUUUUCUAAUUGGUUAGAGCCAGUAUAUGGGAACUCUAAUGACUUGGAAUCAAAGAACCUUUCUCAACUCAUUUAAUAAUUUACAAUAGUUUAUAGUUUCAUCAAAUUUUCUACAUGGGCAAUCAUCUGAGAAUAAGGACAAGCAAGCAGUUCUAGAAUGAUCAUCUUUCUCAGUGUGAUCUGCUACUCUGCAGAAUAAAAAGCUCACAGGAUAUCUGAUUUCUAAACUAAGAUCACUCUCCAGUACCUACAAACCUAUGUUCGUAUGCAGUUAUUCAGGAUUCUCCUAUUUCCCAUCUUGAAUGCUUUACAAGAUAUAUUAUUCUAAAGAUGCUCUUUUCUUGCUCUGUCACCCAAAUAUUUUAUUUCCCAGAGAUUUCUUGAUUUGACUUCAAACGGAGCACUCUAAAACAAAGAACUGGAAACAAAUGCAAAGCGGUAUUUUUUAUUUCAAGAAAAGCAUAUUACCUCAUUUAAAAACGAUGAGAUUUUUAGAGAAACGUUCUUUAGAUUUAGGAAUCUUCUAAUUAGAUUUCUACAUGAAUAGAUUGAAGCAAAGAUUCUCUUUUUGUUUGUCAACACAAAUUGGAGAAAAAAUAUGAGUUCAACAUCAUCUGCUCUCAUAGAGAAGAAAAGUAAAGAGUCACAUGAAAAUAAAGGUCAAAGACCUAUUAUUAUCUUUUUGGCAUUUAUUCUGACCUCCUAACAUUGCUAGGAAAAAAAGACCAGUAAUCUUAAUAAAGCAAGAGUCUCCUGGGAAAGCAUCGUCUGGUUUCCAUGUGAACAGGAAGCCAGAGCUUUGACUAUGUCCUUCCUUAUUAUUUUGAAAUGACACUGUUAAAAGCUGUUUUCUUUAAACUCUGCACUAUAGAAAACAUUACCAAAUAAAUAUGUGUCAAUUAGUGUUCUUUGGAUGCAAACAAAUAAACCAACUAAACAAAAUGUUACUGGAAAUAUUUUGGGGAUAUACUCUUCAGAAAUUGUUUAUGUAGGCUCCACUGUGUUCCAGUCUUGUUACUCCACUAAAGAUCCAGACCCCUGGAAAAGAGACUGAUUUGCCUGAUUCAUUCCAUGUGUUCCCUCCUUGAUAUGUGUGUUGGUGGCUGAAGGAGGAUACAUUUGCUUUCAUGUCCUUCCAAGACUACAUCUGAUGGUGAAGGGAAAGUUCCCAAGGAAAUCUGGGCUUUCUUAUUCAGGAAGUGGCUGUACAGGAGGGUACAGCACAUGUUCAUUGCAUCCCUUCUGUUGUGUUUUAUAACAAGGCUUAAUACAGAGUCUCCAGGCAGAACCUCCCAGCAGUACCACUGGAGAGGUUUAGGACCCCAGAAAGAGGUGAAUCCAAUGAAAGCAACUGGAGAAUUGGGGGAAGGAAGCUUCCAUCAGGUCCAUAGCAGGCAUCCAGCUGCCAGUAUGAACCCAGUGCUCUAAAGCAGCCUAUCUCACACAUGAGCAAUGGGAAUGGGGCCUUGAAACUGAUGAGAGUGUUCAGUGAGCACUUAGAGGUAGGCUGACCUAGGAAGCUUCCAGGAGAGCAAAAAGAGUGCCCCCCCUCCAGGGUAGACUGACUUCUCUUUCUUUUCCCUCCCUCCCUCCCUCCCUCCCUCCCUCCCUCCCUUCCUUCCUUCCUUCCUUCCUUCCUUCCUUCCUUCCUUCCUUCCUUCCAUUCAGAGCAGGUAGCUCCCCUUAGAGACUUCUUUGGUCCCCAUCUCACAGUUCAGCUCUUAGCUUGAAUACAGAACUCUGUUUUUUUCCUAAAACAUCAUUCCCAGCCAGACACAGUGGCACAGGCUUGUAAUCCUAGUAGCUCUGGAGGCUGAGGAAGGAGGAUCACAAGUUCAAAGCCAGGCUUAGCAACUUAGUGAGGCCCUUAGCAACUUAGUGAGACACUGUCUCAAAAUUUAAAAAUAACAUUAAAAGGGUUGGGGAUAUAGCUCAGUAAUUAAGCACCCCUGAAUUCAAUCCCUAGUACAAAAAAAUCACUCCCAUCAUCCUUGAUUUGCUUCUCUGUUGCUUCUGUUGAUCUUGACUGUAAGGCAGGAAAUGUGCAAAUCUAGAGUAGACUCUGGCAUUCCAAUCAUGGCUCUUCUACCACCUUGCUGGGUGACCUACCUUAUCAGUCCCUGUCCCAGAUGACUUGAGUGACUGCUGCUGCAAUACUUACAGUUUUACUUUUACUUACCUGCCCUCUGUCUUGAUGAGACUUAUUAAGAAACCAAAUCAUAGAAUUAUACCCAUUUCUUGUUAGCGUCCAAUUUAGGGGAAGUCCUAGUCCUUAAAAUCUCUUCCAAAUCACCUAACACAAGACCAAAUUUUAUGACAAAUCCUUUCAAACACCCUUUAUUGAAUCAUUUCACCUUUGCCCAUGCUCUGAGUUUUCUCUCUAUAAUGAGAAAAUAACUUCACCUUUUCAACCAUAGGUGUGUUCCUGGGGCUCUUUAGCUGGAGGGUACUCACACAAUUAUGGGCAUUAAAAUUCAAGUGGUGUAGUUUGGCACCCUGUCUUCCCCACUUACCAUCUAUGUAACCUGAGCCUGGUAUCUGGUAUCUUAACCUCUGUGCCUUAGUUGCUUAUUUGUAAAAUAGAGGAAAUUACUACACUUUGUUCAUUGGAAUGUUGUAUUAGCAUGUAGGCACUUAGCACAGUGCCUGGCACCUAACAAGUUACCAAUAAUAUCAACUUUUUUUUCACUGAUUAUAUUUAUUCAUUUAUUUAUUUAUUUAUUUUGGUACCAGUGAUUGAACCUAGGGGCACUGAGCCCAUUCCCAGUCCUUUUUAUUUUUUUAUUUUGAGACAGGGUCUCACUAAGUUGCUUAGUGCCUUGCUAAGUUGCUGAAGCUGGCUUUGAACUUGCAAUCCUCCUGCCUCAGCCUCCUGAGCCACUGGGACUACAGGUGUAUGCCACCAUGCCCAGCUAAAACUUUUAUAUAUUUUUGAUAGUCAACAUGAUAGUUUGAAAUAUGUAUACACUGUUAAGUGGCUCAAUUCAGCUAUUAUGAGGCAUACUUAUUAUUUUUUGUGAUGAGAACACUUAAAAUAUACUCUCUUGACCAUUUUCAAAAUAUAUUUUUUACUUAGCCAUCAUAUUGUACAAUAUAUUUCUUUUAACUUAUUCCUCCUAUCUAACUGAAAUCUGUAUCCCUUGUCUAAUACCUCUUUUUUUGUUGAAUACAUCUUUUUUAAAAUAUUUUUUUUUAGUUGCUGAUAGACUUUUAUUUAUUUUUAUGUGUUCAUGAGAAUCAAACACAGUGCCUCACAUGCCAGGCAAGUGCUCUCUCACUGAGCCAUGGCCCCAGCCCCUAUCCAAUAUCUAUUUAUAUCCUCACCCCAAGCCCCUCAUAACUAUUAUUCUACUCUACUUCUGUGAGUUCAAUGUUUUCAGAUUCCACAUAUGAGUGAGAUAAUAUGGUAUCUUUCUGUGUUUGACUUGUUUCCCUUUGCAUAAUGUUCUUCAAAUAAUAAUGCUCACAAAUAAUAGAAUUUUCUUUUGUAUUAAGGCUGAAUAAUAUUUCACUGUUUAUAUAUAGCACAUUUUCAUUAUUCAUUAUUUCAUUAUCCAUUAUUCGUUAUUAUCCAUCUGUUAAUGAACAUGUAGGUUGAUUCCAUGUUAUGAAUGAUGAUGUAAUGAAUAUGGGAUUGUAAAUAUCUCAUCAACAUACUGAAUGCAUACCCCCUGGAUUUGUAUCCAGUAGUAGAAUUUCUGUCAUAUGAUGAUUCUAUUUUUAAUUUUUUGAGAAACUUCCAUACUAUUUGCCAUAAUGACCAUACUUGUUUGCAUUUCCUCCAACAGUGUGCCAGAGCUCCCUUUACUGAACAUUCUUGCCAACACUUGUCAUCUUUUCUCUUUUUGACAACAGUCAUUCUAAAAGACAGGAGAUGUUUAUUGUGAUUUUAAUUUAUAUUUCUCUCAUAACUAGUGAUGGUGAAUAUUUUUCAUAUACCCAUUGGCCAUUUAUAUCUCCUCUUUGGGGAAAUGUCUGUUUGAGUGAGAACUCAGCCCAUUUUUAAACUGGAUAUCUUAUAUUCUUGCUAUUGAGUUGUUUCAGUUCCUUUUACAUUUUGAAUAUAACCCCUUAUGGAAUAAAUGGUUUGCAAACAUUAUGACCCAUUCAGUAGUUUGUAUCUUCACUUAAAUGAUUGUUUCCUUUUUUAUAUAAAAGCUUUUUAGUUGAUGCAAUCUGAUAUAUUCUGGCUUUUAUUGUUUAUGCUUUUGUACUCAUAUCUAAAAUAUUAUUGCCCAGACCAAUGUCAUGGAGAUUUCCCCCUAUGUUUUUGUUAUGUUUUAGAUAUGUGAUGUCCUCAAAAGCUCAUGUGUGAGACAAUGCAAGAAUGUUUAGAGUUGUAAUGAUGAGGUGAUGUUGCCUAAUCAGUGGAUUCAUAAACUCAUAUGGACUAAGUGAGUGGUCGCUAUAGGCAGAUGGUAGUGGCUGCAAAAGGGGUCAUAAUUUUGGGGUUUAUAUUUUGUCCCUGGUAGCCGGAGCAUUCUCUCUCACUCUCCUUCUCCCUUCCUCUCUUUUUCUGUCUGUCUCUGCUUCCUGGUUUCCAUGUCCUAAGAUGCCAUCCUCUGCCCAUCCUUUUGCCAUGAUGUUCAGCCUUACCUGUGGCCCAGAGCUGUGGAGUUGGCUGGCCACGGAUUGGACCUCUGAAACCCAUGAGCCAAAAUAAACUUUUCCUCCUCUACAGUGUUCUUGUUGGGUCUUUUUUUGUCACAGCAACAACAACAACAACAAAACAAAACAAAAAAAAUCACAUCAAAAAAAUCCAACAGUUUUUAUUUGGUUGUUUAACAGUUCAGGUCUUACAUUAAAGUCUUUAAUCCAUUUUGAGCUGAUUUUUAUAUAUGACAUGUAAGAUAAAAGUCUAAUUUCUAGUUUCCUUAGCACCACUUAUUGAAGAAAUUGUUCUUUCCACAUUGUGUGUUCUAUACACCUUUGUUGAAAAUCAACUGACUAAUGCAUAGAUUUAUUUCUGAGCUCUCUAUUCUGUUCUGUUGGGCUGUGUGUCUGUUUUUAUGUCAGUACCAUGCUUAUAUGAGUACUGUGACUUUCCAGUAUAUUUUGAGGUUAGGUAGUGUGAUACCUCCAGCUUUGUACUUUUUGUUUAACAUUGCUUUGGUUUUUGGGGGUCUUUUAUGGUUCCAUAUACAGGUUAGGAUUUUUGUUUUGUUUUAGUUUCGUAAAGGAGUUAUUGGAAUUUUGAAAGAAGUUGCAUUGAAUCUUUGACUACUUUUGUAGUAUGGACAUGUUAACAAAAUUCUUCCAAUUCAUGAAUAUGAACAUGUAUUUGUGUAUUCUUCAGUUUCUUUCAUCAAUAUUCAUAGUUUUCAGUAUACAGGUCUUUACAUUUCUUGCUUAGCUUUGUUCUUAAGUUUUGUGGGGUUUUUUUGUAGCUAUUGUGAAUGGGUUUUUUCAAUUUCUUUCUCCUAUAGUUCAUUGUUGGCAUACAGAAUUGAUAAUUAUUUAUAUAUGUUGAUUUUAUAUUCUGUAACUUCACAGAAUUCAUUUAUUAGGUUUAACAAAUUUUUAGUGAAGUCUUGUGUUAGCUUCUCAUUACUUUGACCAAAAUACCUGAGAAAAUGAAAGGAGGAAAGGUUUUUUUGGCUCAUAGUUUCAGAGGUUUUAAGCCUAUGGUUGGCUGGCUCCAUUGAUUUGGGACUAAGGUAAGGCAGAACAUCAUGACCAAAGUGUGUGAUAGAGUAAAGCUGCUCACCUAAUGGUAGUUGGGAAGUAGAGAGAAGGGAAGAGUCUGGGAACAAAAUAUACCCUUCAAAGGCACACCCCAGUCAUCUACUUCAUCUAACCAAAUCUCACCGAGUAUAGUUUUCACCAUCUCCCAAUAAGGCCAUCAAAUUAUUAACCCAUCAAUGUAUUAAUGCACUGAUGGUAAGAACUCUCAUGAUUCAAUCACUUCCCAAGAGCCCCACCUCUGAACAUUGCUGCAUUGGGGACCAAGACUCAACACAAGCCUUUUGCAGGACAUUCCAGAUCCGAUCUAUAGCAAGUCUUCAGGGUUUUCUACUUACAAAUUGUGUCCUCUGAAAGCAGUGACAAUUUGAUUCCCUCUUUCCAAUUAAGAUGCCCUUAAUUUUCUUAUUUUGCCAGAUAGCUCUGGCUAGGUCUUCCAGUACUAUGUUGAAUGAAAGUGGUAAAAAUGGGCAUUGUUGUCUUCUAUAUCUUAGAAAACUUUAUGUUAUUCUCUAUUAGUAUGUUAGCUGUGGGCUUGAUAUGUAUGCCCUUUAUUGAGUUGCAUUUCUUCUAUAUUUAACUUGUUCAGUUUUUAUUAUGAAGGGAUUUUGAAUUUUAUCAAAUCUUUAAUGCAUCUAUCAAGAAAGUUGUAUCAUUUUGUCCUUUAUUCUAUUGAUAAGGUGUAUCAUAUUUAUUGAUUUGCAUAUGUUGAACCAAACUUGCAUCCCUGGGUUGAAUCCCACUUGAUCGUAGUGAAUAAUCAUUUUUUAAUAUUUAUUUUUUAGUUGUAGGUGGACACGCAUAUCUUUAUUUCAUUUUUUUUGUGCUGAGGAUCGACCCCAGUGCCUCACGCAUGCUACAUUUUACCACUGAGCCACAACCCCAGCCUGAAUAAUCAUUUUAAUGUGCUAUUGAAUUCAGGUUGCUAGUAUUUUGUUGAGUAUGUUUCCAUUAAUGUUCAUCGGGGAUAUUAACCUAUAAUUUUCUUCUCUUGCAAUGUUCUUGUCUUAUUUUGGUAUCAGGGCAAUGCUGGCCUCAUAAAAUCAAUUUGUAAAGAUUCUCAUAUCUUCAAUUUUGGGGGGAAGAAUUUGGGAAGGACUGGUAUUUGUCCUUCUUUAAAUGUCUGAUACAAUUCAGAAUGGAGUCAUCUGUCCUUGGAUGGGACAUUUUUUAUUAUUUAUUCAGUCCCAAAACUUACUAUUUGUGUGUUCACAUUUUCUAGUCUUUCAUGAUUCAUUCUUGUAGGUUCUGUAUCUCUAGGUAUUUAUUCAUUUCCUCAAAGUUAUCCAAUUUGUUGGAGUAUAAUUAUUUAUAAUAGUCUCUUACAAUUCUUUGUAUUUCUGUGAUAUUGGUUGUAAUGUCUCAUCUUUUGCUUCUCAUGUUUAAUAUGAGUCUUCUCUUUCUUCUUAGUCUAGUUAAAGAUUUGUUGAUUUAGGUUAACUUUUCAAAAACAAAACUUAAACAUUUUUGUUUUGUUUUCUUUCUGCAAUGGAGGUCUCACUACAAUACCCAGGCAGUCCCAAACUUCUGGGCUCUAAUGAUUUUCCCACUUUAGCCUCCCAAAGUCCUGGAUUUACAAGUAUGUACCACCAUACUUAAAAUUUAUCUCUUCUAUUGUCUUUCUAGUCUCUAUUUCAUUUAUUUCUACUCUGAUCUUUAUUAUUACCUUCCUUCUAUUAACUUUGUGCUUGGUUUGCUCCUUUUCUAGUUCCAUGAGGUGUAACUUCAGGUUGUUUAUUUGAAAUCUUAUUUUUAAAUGUAGGCAUUUAUUGUUAUAAACUUCCCAUUGGAAUGCUUUUGUUGUGUCCAUUUUCAUUUGUCUCAUAUUUUUAAACUUGCCUUUUAAAUUCUUUUUUGACCCAUUGGUUGUUCAGAAGUAUGUUGUUUAACUUACACAUAUUUGUGAAUUUCACAAAAUUCUUCCUGAUACUGAUUUCUAAUUUCAUCCCAUUAUGGUUGGAUCAAUUUUCUUAAAUUUUUAAAGUCCUUUUUUGUGGCUUAACUUAUGAUCUAUCUUGGAAAUGUUCUGUGUACACUCGAGAAAAAUAUGUAUUCUGCUAUUGUUGAAUUGAAUGCUGUGUAUACAUCUGCUAGGAUUAAUGUGUAGUUUGAUCUAAAGUGUAGUUUAAUGUCUUACAUUUCCUUAUUGGAAGUAUAUAUCAUCUGGAUAGUCUGUGCAUUGCUGAAAGUAAGUUAUUGAAGUCCAUUGUAUUAUUGUCUAUCUCACCCUUCAGAUCUAUUUGUGUGCUGAUGUUGGGUGCAUAUACAUUUAUAAUUGUUAUAUCCUUCUGGUGAACUGACCUCCUUAUCAAUAUAUAGUGAUCUUUUAUGUCUUGUUUUAUAGUUUUUGUCUUAAAUUCUAUUUUAUCUUGUUUAAGUAUAACCACCCUUCCUUUAUUUUGAUUUCCAUUUGGAUGGCACAUCUUUUUCCAUUCUUUCACUCUCAGUUUAUAUGUACCCUUAAAUAUGAAAUGAGCCUCAGACACAUCAGAUAAUCGGGCCUUAUUUUUAAAUCCAUUUAGUCACUUUAUGUCUUUUGGUUAGAGAAUUAAGUCCAUUUGCAUUCAGGGUAAUUAUAAAUAGGUAGGGAUUUAUCUACUGCCAUUUGCUUUCUGGUCGUUUUGUGAUCCUUUGUUUUCUUUUUCUUCUCUUGCUGUCUUCCUGAUUAGGUGAUUUUCACCAGUGGCAUUCUUUGAUUCCUUUCUUCUUGUCCUUUACAUAUCUAUUGUCAGUGUUUGCUUUGUUCUUACCAUGAGACUUACAUAAAACAUUUUUUAGUUUUAACAGGCUAUUUGAAGCUGAUGACUUGAGUUUGAUAAUAGAGAAACUUGUACUCUUGUACUCUUCACUUUCCCCACAUUUUAUUUUUUGUGUCACAGUGUACAUGGUUUGUAUUUGAACACCUUAUUGAGUUACUGUAGAUAUUAUUUUUAAUAGCUUUGUCUUUUAAACCUCAUAUCUUGUUUUGGUAUUUUUGUGCAUGAGUAGUUAUUCAAAUCAAUAUUUCUGUAGGAGGAUGAAUACUGGAGAAUCCUACUGCAUCCUCUUACUGAUAUUAGUCACUCAACAUUGGUUAUUAUUCUUAGUUCAGUUAUAGCAUUCUUUUCUUCACUUAUAGCCCAUAUUAAUGCUAAGAUUUGUAUUUGACUUUGCUUUUAAGAAAUGAUUGAACUAUCCUUUUUAAAAAUUCUGCACAUUUUUGCCAGAUUAUAUCAAAGUGAAUUCCAAUGUAUGCAUGCAAGUAUGUGGAUACAUGCAUCUGAUGAGAAGAUGUGAGAAUGAGAAGAAGACCCAGCAUUUAUUGAACAUUAUACCUCAGACACUUUGCUGGUGUUAUUUAUUGUUUGUAAUAGCAAAAACUAACGAGUCUAUUUCUGAAAAUAUUUUUGAAACUAGAUGCAAAAUUUUCUAGCAGAACUACAAACAAUUCUGCUGAAAGAAGGGGCCGUUCAGCCAUCCUCCUGAGGAAUUUGAGCUUGAUUUAAGUCUGAAGUAAAGAUUUGGAUUUAAUUUAAAAUUCUCUGCCAAAGACAUGACCUUCAAAUCUUUUCCAUGAAAUGUCUUUUAGAGCCUGAAAAACAAAUUCAACUCACAUGAGAAUGUAAAUCAAGUGAGAAUAUGAAAUCACAUAUGCUACCUACUGGCUCCAAAUAAGUUUGACAGCCACGUUUAGGUUAUAACAAACUUUGAGAUACCCAAAGAUGACCUUUUAUUUCAAGAUCUGAAAUGAUUAAAUGAUUAAAAUUGCUCUUUAAUAAUUAAAUAUGCCAUCUGUAUAAGACAGAGUGUGACCUUUCACCCAGGGUCUCCCAGGCUGUUCUAGAAUUUCUGCAGUUGGCACAUAUGGUAUCAGAAACCCAGUGCUAUUCUUCCUUUGAAAUAUUAGAGGAGCAGACUUAGAGCAGCUGUUUUUGUGCUGCCAGAUUUCAUUGAAAUGUGGGUUUUAAAAGCUCUUGGCUUGUCAUUUUGAGUUAGCAUACCUUAAUCACAAAUCUCACCAUAAUGUAAUUCAACUGAUGCCUGAAACUCAAUAUAGCGGAACAUUUGCUGAACAAUGCACUUAAUGUAACAAUAGCCAACCAGAAUGUAUGUUUUCCAUUGCAGUGUCCUUUCAUGUUAUAUGUGCCUUCAAAAUAUCUAAUAGAUUAUAAAUAUUCCUUUUUUUAUGGCAACAAAAUGCCAACAAUCUCCAUUACGCUGUUCCUCUCCCCCACUUCAUUGGGAAUAUAUAAGGAAAUACGACAUUUGAAGAGCUAUCUGCUUUAAGAUUUAGACACUGAUAGUACUACUUAAUGCAACCCUGUCAUUAAGCCAACUGCAGUAAUUAGAAAGCCAAUAAUGAGUUCACGUGUCUGUUUGUCUUAAUUGUCAUAUUAGACAACUUCCAUGGUUCAGUGAUCAACACUUACAAUGGUUGGAACAAAGGAAUAUACUGCAAUCACCAUAAACAAUUUCUGUGUGUGUCUGGGAGGUGGGGAUAUUGACCCUGGCUAUAAUAGUACUGGCUAAUUAACCUGGAGUUUUUUUUUUUUUAAAUCUGCUUACUUUCAACAGACUGUUUAUUUAAAAAUUCAACUGAGAGCCUAUAUUUGAGCAUUUUCAGUGUUGACUUUAAUGUCAUUUUUAGAGAUAAACUUGAUUCUUCACUUCCAUUUAAAGUCUUGUGUGGACUUUAAGUCAGACACGAAGUAAGCUAGUCUUAUUUUAAAAUACACUUCACAUUUUAUUUAUAAAAAUCAAACUGUGUGGAAGUUCUUUUAGAAUCUGUUAUUUGAAUUUUUUUCUCACAUAAAUUUAUAGCCAGGAAUCAUGAAAAAUUAUCCCAUUUGCUUUAUUGAAGCAUUUAUUGUACUCAGGAUUGGGAUUCAUUGUAUUGAAUUCCAGGUAGAAUACAUGACAUAAGUUUCAUUUGGCUUUUCUCCCCCCAGGAAGAUUUUAAGUCAUGAAGAUAGAUAAUGAGCAUGCACUCAUUUAUUUAUUUCAAGUGUUUUUUUUUUUUUAAAUGUGUUCCUCCUAUGAUGGGUGCAGGAAUAUUUACUACGCAUGGAUGAGGCAUUUAAGAAGUCAGUAUAUAAAAUAAGUAGCCAUAAUCCAGAAUGAUCGUGUGUAUGUGUAUGUGAGUAUGUGUGAGGAGGGCUGCCAGAGUGGGGAGAGAAGGAAGGAGAAAAGAGGACAAGAAAAUUCAAGGAAGAGAAGAGACAGAGGGCAAUUCCUUUUGUGAGGGGAAAGUAUGCUGGAUCGUCACAUUAAUCCUCUACUCCUAUUUUCUUUCUACAUCUGCCCCACCCUGCCCUUUGCAGAUCAUAUUACCUGAGAUUCUUUGCCCUCUGGCUUUGGGAGGACAGAUAGCAGGAGAAGAGAGGUCAUAGUAGUUACCCCUACUCUCUUAGCCACUUACUUCCUCUACCUUGUAACCACGGUUCCUGCUGGGCAAUCCUUAGGUUGUCUCUCAAUUUCACCUCUCCACUCUUAACUUUGUCCUCCAGUUCCAGGGCUGAGAAGAACCCCCCUUUCUUGUUAGUGCCUGGUGCUUUGCCAUCCUUUGUUCUUAUUACUCCUGCCAUACCUACAAGUGUGUUUCAUCCCUUCAUUGAAUUUUCUUCAGUUAACCCUCCUGUAUGGUCAGACUGACACAAACACAGAAUGUCCAAGAGGGUGAUAUGGAGGUCACUGUACUUUCCCAUUUUGAACAUACACAUAGAGGAGAACAAAGCUGGACUAAAACAGGCCAUUUCUGUUGCUACCAACAGAGGGCAUCGGUAGACAUGCUCAGACAUUUACAGCAAAUUGUUCUUUCCUUGAGUCUGUUGGCUACUUCUUUCUCUUUUAAACAAAUACCAACUCUUAUCUAUACCUGAUAAAUGCCAAAUCAGUGAAAGUGUUGAAAAUCGUUAUAAUAGGUAUUCAUUUGCUUAUGACUAAGGCAAAAACAGAGAUUACUUGAAAAAAAAAACACAGGGGGGAAAAAACAGAUUUCAGGUGAAUGAUUUUUUUUUUUUUUUUCACAGUAGCUACUCUGAAGGACAAAGAGUAAAUCAAAUGAUGACAGAAAAGUAUUGUUCCUGUUGUGGACUGAAUUGUGUCCCCUGCCAAAUGCAUAUGUUGAAGCCCCAACCCCCAAUAUGACUGUAAUUGGAUAUAUGGCCUUUAUAGAGCUAAUUAAGAUUACACAGGACUUAAGAAUGGGACCCUAUUCUAAGGGGACUGGUGUCCUUAUAGGAAUAAAAGGAGAAACCAAGAGUGGGUGUGCAUAGAGGAAAAGCCAUGUGAGGACACAGAAGGGCUAUCUACAAUUCAAGGAGAGAAGCCUCAGGAGAAAUCAGCAUUGCUAGAACCUUGAUCUUGGAUUUCUAGUUUCUAAAACUAUGA
rnacentral:lncRNA from 1 species